rnacentral:rRNA from 1 species
AUGUCGCCGAGGAGACCAGAGGCCGUGGCGACGCUGUUCAUGCUCAUGCUUUUCAACGCUUCAGGAGCAUUUGUUGGUAUCAACAUUGGCACUGGGGUGUCAGACCUGCCAUCAGCAUCAGACAUAGUCUCCACCCUUAAAGCCAUGAAGAUCCAACAUGUUCGCUUGGUUGAUUCAGACCAUCAGAUGCUUGUCGCCCUCGCGAACACCGGAAUCGAAGUGAUGGUCGGUGUGCCAAACGAUCAGCUGCUCCGUGUGGGGCAGUCUCGUCCGGCAGCUGUUGAUUGGGUCAACAAGAAUGUUGCUGCCUACAUUCCGGCUACAAACAUCACGUAUAUCGCCGUGGGCGAUGAGGUUCUUUCCACUCUCCCAAAUGCAGCUCUUGUUCUGGUACCUGCAUUGCAGUUCCUCCAGUCAGCACUGUUGGCUGCGAACCUCAAUACCCAAGUGAAACUAUCAAGUCCUCACUCAAUGGAUAUGAUUCCCAAGGCAUUUCCUCCCUCUACCGCCACUUUCAACUCGACGUGGAGCUCAAUAAUGCUUCCGUAUCUUCAGUUUCUGAAGAGUACAGGAUCUUCCUUCAUGCUGAAUGCUCAACCAUACUAUAGCUAUGUGGGAGGGCAAGGUGUGUUCCCUUUGGAGUAUGCCCUGUUCCGAUCACUCAAUCCCAACAGUCAGGUUGCGGAUCCCAACACUAAUUUGUUCUAUACCAACAUGUUUGAUGCUAUGGUUGAUGCUGCGUACAACUCGAUGAAAGCCAUGAAUUUCACCAAUAUUUCUGUUAUAGUCACAGCUUCUGGUUGGCCAUGGCGUGGUGGACGAAAUGAGCCGGCUGCUGAUGUUGACAAUGCUCUGGCCUACAAUACAAAUCUCAUACGCCAUGUGCUAAAUAAUUCUGGUACACCUAGCCAGCCAGAUAACCAAGUAAGCACAUACCUAUUUGAGCUGUUCAACGAGGAUCGUCGGGCUGGACCUGUUUCGGAGCAAAGUUGGGGCAUUAUGUUUACCAACGCAAGUGCGGUGUACUCCCUGACAUUUGAAGAUGUGGCCACAAAUAACACUGACUCGCCGGGUUUGCGCGGGAUGUUUUGUGUGGCAAAUUCAAGUGCAACCCAUAGUGCAUUGAAGCAAAGCUUGGAUUGGGUAUGUGGCCCUGGCUCCGCAAACUGCAGUGCCAUUCAACCUGGGCAGCAAUGCUAUAAAGCAGAUGACAUUGUAGCUGUUGCUUCGUAUGCAUUCAACGAUUAUUAUCAUAGAACACAAGCGAGUGGCGGUACAUGCAACUUUAAUGGCACAGCAACCAUAUCAUCUACGGAUCCAAGCCAUGGAUCAUGUGUUUUCGCAGGAAGCAACGGUGCCAAUGGCAGCAGUGGUGAUGCGGCUGCUGGUCCUGUGAGCCAAGACAGUUUUGCCUCGCAAUCCCAGUCUUGCUGGUUGACUUACCUAGCUGCCGUGCUUCUGCCUGCUGUACUUCUCAUGUAA